UACGUAGGGCGCAAGCGUUAUCCGGAAUUAUUGGGCGUAAAGAGCUCGUAGGCGGUCUGUUGCGUCGGCUGUGAAAACCCGGGGCUCAACUCCGGGCCUGCAGCCGAUACGGGCAGACUAGAGUUCGGCAGGGGAGACUGGAAUUCCUGGUGUAGCGGUGAAAUGCGCAGAUAUCAGGAGGAACACCGGUGGCGAAGGCGGGUCUCUGGGCCGAUACUGACGCUGAGGAGCGAAAAGCGUGGGGAGCAAACAGG
rnacentral:rRNA from 1 species